rnacentral:misc_RNA from 1 species
CUAACCCCUAAAGACCCAAGUACAUUUGGGUACCUAAAGUAAAUUGAAUUAUCUUAUGUAGGUGUGCUUAAAAUCCUCUAAGCUUGAAAGUAAGUGGUAUUUAGAUAAUGGAUGUUUAAGACACAUGACUGAAAAUGCCAACCUUUUCCUUUCACUUGAAAAAAAGAUGGAGGUGGGCAAGUGACCUUUGGUGACAAUAGUAAAGGUAAAAUUGUGAGGAUAGGUAAGAUUGAUAAGAAAAACUCCCCUAUUCUUGACAAAGUACUUUUGGUUGAUAGUUUAAAGUAUAAUUUGCUUAG